rnacentral:rRNA from 1 species
CCUACGGGAGACAGCAGUGGGGGAUAUUGGACAAUGGGGGGAACCCUGAUCCAGCGACGCCGCGUGAGUGAAGAAGUAUUUCGGUAUGUAAAGCUCUGUCAGCAGGGAAGAAAGCAAUGACGGUACCUGACCAAGAAGCCCCGGCUAACUACGUGCCAGCAGAGGCGGUAAUACGUAGGGGGCAAGCGUGAUCCGUAAUUACUGGGUGUAAGGGGAGCGUAGACGGCGGUGCAAGUCUGGAGUGAAAGGCGGGGGCUCAAACCCCGGACUGCUCUGGAAACUGUAUGGCUGGAGUGCAGGAGAGGUAAGCGGAAUACCUAGUGUAGCGGUGGAAUGCGUAGAUAUUAGGAGGA